AUCGAACGCUGGCGGCAGGCCUAACACAUGCAAGUCGAACGAGUGGCGGACGGGUGAGUAAUGUCUGGGAAACUGCCUGAUGGAGGGGUCUAACUACUGGAAACCGUCGCUAAUACCUCAUACCAUCAGAUGUGCCCAGAGAGGAUUAGUUUGUGGGUGGGGUAACGGCUCACCCACGUGACGAUCCCUAGCUAGUCUGAGAGAGUGAACAGUCAUACUGGAACUGGGACACGGUCCAGACUCUUACGGGGGGCAGCAGGGAGGAAUAUUGCACAAUGGUCGCAAGCCUGAUACAGCGAUGCCGCGUGGAUGAAGAAGGCCUUCGGGUUGUAAAGUUGUUUCAGCUGGGAGUCGUUACCCGCAGAAGAAGCACCGGCUAACUCCGUGCCAGCAGCCGCGGUAAUUC
rnacentral:rRNA from 1 species